rnacentral:rRNA from 1 species
CGUAGGGUGCGAGCGUUGUCCGGAAUUAUUGGGCGUAAAGAGCUCGUAGGCGGUGUGUCACGUCGGCCGUGAAAACUUGGGGCUUAACUCUGAGCGUGCGGUCGAUACGGGCAUCACUUGAGUUCGGCAGGGGAGACUGGAAUUCCUGGUGUAGCGGUGAAAUGCGCAGAUAUCAGGAGGAACACCGGUGGCGAAGGCGGGUCUCUGGGCCGAUACUGACGCUGAGGAGCGAAAGCGUGGGAGCGAACAGGAUU